rnacentral:rRNA from 1 species
AAUCAACGCUGGCGGCGUGCCUCAGACAUGCAAGUCGAACGCGAAAGGCUCCUUCGGGGGCCGAGUAGAGUGGCGCACGGGUGAGUAACACGUAGGUAAUUUGCCUUUGGGUGGGGAAUAACUCAGGGAAACUUGAGCUAAUACCGCAUAAUGCAGCGGCUCGACAUCGAGACAGUUGUUAAAGCGGGGGACCGCAAGACCUCGCGCCUGAAGAGAAGCCUGCGGCAGAUUAGCUAGUUGGUAGGGUAAUGGCCUACCAAGGCGACGAUCUGUAACCGGCCUGAGAGGGCGGUCGGUCACACUGACACUGACA